rnacentral:rRNA from 1 species
UACGUAGGGUGCGAGCGUUGCCCGGAUUUAUUGGGCGUAAAGGGCGCGUAGGCGGUCACGCACCGUCCGUUGUGAAAUCGCUCGGCUCAACUGGGCGGGGUCAGCGGAUACGGCGUGGCUGGAGCAAGCUAGGGGGUAAUGGGAAUUCCCGGUGUAGUGGUGGAAUGCGUAGAUAUCGGGAGGAACACCAGUGGCGAAGGCGGUUACCUGGAGCUUUGCUGACGCUGAUG